rnacentral:rRNA from 1 species
AACGAACGCUGGCGGCAGGCCUAACACAUGCAAGUCGAGCGGAUGAGGGGUGCUUGCACUCCGAUUCAGCGGCGGACGGGUGAGUAAUGCCUAGGAAUCUGCCCGAUAGUGGGGGACAACGUUUCGAAAGGAACGCUAAUACCGCAUACGUCCUACGGGAGAAAGUGGGGGCUCUUCGGACCUCACGCUAUCGGAUGAGCCUAGGUCGGAUUAGCUAGUUGGUGGGGUAAAGGCUCACCAAGGCGACGUUCCGUAACUGGUCUGAGAGGAUGAUCAGUCACACUGGAACUGAGACACGGUCCAGACUCCUACGGGAGGCAGCAGUGGGGAAUAUUGGACAAUGGGCGAAAGCCUGAUCCAGCCAUGCCGCGUGUGUGAAGAAGGUCUUCGGAUUGUAAAGCACUUUAAGUUGGGAGGAAGGGCUGUAAGCGAAUACCUUGCAGUUUUGACGUUACCGACAGAAUAAGCACCGGCUAACUUCGUGCCAGCCGCCGCAGUAAAAC